CCCGUGGUGUUGUGUCGGGAGAUGCAGUAACUGAACCAGUGCACUGAAGACAAGGCAGCAUGCUGUGGUCAUCACUCACAGGAGGACGAAAAGAAGGUGGAGAGCAACAGAAAAAAUAACUUAAUGACAAUAGAUUAAAUACCUUUUAAUCCACCA